AAGCUUGACGAUAGGCGGAAUAAGCGCGAGAAAGAUCAUCCUGCAUCAAAUAACAGUGACCUAAAGCACUCCAAAUUUCACCCUGCUUAGGAUCACAGUCUAAAAUAGUUUGGUAAUAUUCAAUGGCAAGCGGAAAUUGCUCGCGGUUUCGUAAUAUGGUAGCAAUUUGAAGCAUAGCGGGAAUCGAAUAUGGGUUCUGGCGCAAAGCGGACUCAUAAGCAGAAAGGGCUUUAUCCUGAUCAUCAAAUAGCUCUGCAAGACGGCCAAUCUGAAUCCAAGUUUCCUCGUUAAGUGAAAUUAAAUGACGAACAGAUUCAGGAGCGUUGGGCGGCAGCACAUUGGCGCCUUGUUGAGCAGCAAGCGUAGAAGUAGCUGCGGUUUUAUUUUGAGGUACAACAGCCAUAGCAGGAGAAGAAGUCAUGGGAACAGGCUGGGCAUUUUGAACAGCGGAAUUUGCUGCAGGAAGGGUCACCGGACUGGCCAAGGUGUUUGGGGUGCCAUUUGCAGGAAGAGCCUGUGGAGGAAUGGGAGGCAAUGCAGCCUGGUUUGGAGCAGGAACGGGGGCAAUAGCAAUAGGUUGGCCAGCCAUUGGAUGAUUGACGGCAGGAAUCGAAUAGUAAGUACCAUUUUGAGAAACUAUUGUAGAGACGGGCUGCUGAAUACCAGAAUGUAACUGACGCUGCUGUUGUUGUUGCUGCAAAGGCUGCUGAGGCGGCUGCGGUUGUUGAGGCUGUUGAUGUUGUUGCUGUUGAGGCUGUUGUUGGGGUUGCGAUUGUUGUUGCUGUUGCAGGGGAACGGGAAUGUAAGGAGAAGCCUGGUUGGGAAGGGGUAGCUGUUGAAUGGGUUGGUUGGAAGAGAGUAUGGGCAUCAUUCGUUGCAACUGAGGAUGCUGCUGAGGUGCAUUCGUAGCAGCAACCAUGUUUGGAGGAAGUUGUCGGUAUUGUUGAGGUUGUAGAACCUGCUGAAUGGGAACAAUGGCUUCAGCAUAAUGAGGCUGGGAUGCAAUAGAGACAGAGGGUGGUUGUUGAAUGUUUUGCUGGGCAGGGCCUAAAGAGGGAGACUGCUGGGCAGGUUGCUGCUGUUGAGAUAGUAGAGGAUGCAAUGUGGAACGAGGAAGAUGAGAAGGGGGAAGGGAAACAGAAUUGGCAUGGAGGGGUGAAGCGUAGUAAGCAGUCUGAGGGGGCAGCGAAGCAUUUGGGUCGGACGAGAGGACUUUUGAGCCCAUGCCAUGGUUGGGCUGUGCAUUCUGGGAAGGAGAAGCAGUAGCGACUUGUGAUUGGGGCAUAUCAAAAAAGUUUUUAAGUACAAAUUAGAUAGAGAAGAACGAAAACACGGAGGAGAUCGAAAUAUGAAAAAAAAAAUAAUAAUAAUUAACAAUAAACAAUGGACAAUGAAAAAGAGAAAAGAAAAAAAAAAGAACAGAGAAAAAGAAUAGAAAUUCUUCAAGAAUGCAACAUCCGCUUAUGGAAAAGGAAAAGUUCAGAGAACGAAAUCCACGUAAACCACAAAAAUAGAAUGGAAAAAAGGAAUUGAUUAAAAAAAGAAAAAGAAAAAAUUACAGCGAAAAACGAAGGAUGUUGUCGUAUAAAAGUGGAUACUGUACAACGAUGCCAAGAGCAAUUCAGUGGAAUAAUAGGUUAUCCAGGCAAAGUGAAUUGAUCAAUGGAAAAAAAAUGGUCCUUGUUUCACCAAUACGUGUAAAGGUAGGCGAGUAUGUCAGAUAAAACAAAACUGUAUUUGUAGUAUACAGUGAUGUACUUUCCUAUACUAUAUACUUGGUCCUAAGAGUUAACAAGCCGUUACACCAAAAAACCAAAAGGCAAAUGAAAGCAGGGAACGAGACACAGUGUUGAAACAGUGUCAAGUAGAGUAAUCACUUGUGAAUGGUUAGAUUCGUGUGAUUG
rnacentral:lncRNA from 1 species